rnacentral:tRNA from 1 species
GCCGACGUAGCUCAGUAGGUAGAGCGUGUCCAUGGUAAGGAUAAGGUCGCCGGUUCGAUUCCGGCCGUCGGCUCCA